rnacentral:rRNA from 1 species
GACAGAGGGUGCAAACGUUGUUCGGAAUUACUGGGCGUAAAGCGCGUGUAGGCGGCCCUGCAAGUCGGAUGUGAAAUCCCACGGCUCAACCGUGGAAGUGCAUUCGAAACUGCAGGGCUAGAGUCCUGGAGAGGAAGGUGGAAUGCUUGGUGUAGAGGUGAAAUUCAUAGAUAUCAAGCGGAACACCGGUGGCGAAGGCGGCCUUCUGGACAGUGACUGACGCUGAGACGCGAAAGCGUGGGGAGCAAACAGG